rnacentral:rRNA from 1 species
UGAGGAAUAUUGGUCAAUGGGCGAGAGCCUGAACCAGCCAAGUAGCGUGCAGGAUGACGGCCCUAUGAGUUGUAAACUGCUUUUAUAUGGGAAUAAAGUGAGGGACGUGUCCCUUAUUGCAUGUACCAUACGAAUAAGGACCGGCUAAUUCCGUGCCAGCAGCCGCGGUAAUACGGAAGGUCCAGGCGUUAUCCGGAUUUAUUGGGUUUAAAGGGAGCGUAGGCUGUUUGUUAAGCGUGUUGUGAAAUGUAGGAGCUCAACUUUUAGAUUGCAGCGCGAACUGGCAGACUUGAGUGCGCACAACGUAGGCGGAAUUCAUGGUGUAGCGGUGAAAUGCUUAGAUAUCAUGACGAACUCCGAUUGCGAAGGCAGCUUACGGGAGCGCAACUGACGCUAAAGCUCGAAGGUGCGGGUAUCGAACAGG